rnacentral:ncRNA from 1 species
AAAGUUCUUGGACAAAUGAAAAAAGGUAAUUUCUAUUUUAUUUUAAUAGAAAUUACCUUUUUAUUACUUCUUUAAUUUUUUAAUAUGAAAUCACAUAUAAAUACGUAGUAUUUAUGGCAAGACUCCUGAGGGAACAGUACUAGUUGAAGACCUUAGAAAUUCUCACAAAUUUAUCUGUGUAGUAUUUCUGGCUGAAACUGUACCAUAGGAAGGGACCCAACACAGAGAAACUGAUUAAAUCAG